UACGGGGGGGGCAAGCGUUGUUCGGAAUUACUGGGCGUAAAGGGCUCGUAGGUGGCCAACUAAGUCAGACGUGAAAUCCCUCGGCUCAACUGAGGAACUGCACGGGAGACUGUCGGGCUUGAGUUCGGGAGAGGGAAGCGGAAUUCCGGGUGUAGCGGUGAAAUGCGUAGAUAUCCGGAGGAACACCGGUGGCGAAGGCGGCUUCCUGGACCGACACUGACGCUGAGGCGCGAAAGCUAGGGGAGCAAACGGG
rnacentral:rRNA from 1 species